AGGGAUCCUAUUUUUACUUCAUGAACGGCGUAACCUAAAAGAAAUAACUGUACAAGGAAUAACUGUACAUGCGCACGCCUGACAGCCAGCUCUGGAUCCUGCCGACCUGAGCAUAAAAGCAAUCACAGUCAAAAUGAAGGAUCACUCGUUGCUGCUCAUGUUGCUGAUCCAGUUGGUCGCAGCGAACAUCAGGCGCUUCAUCCUCGUCUUCCUGAAGGUAGUCCUCUUCAGGCUCUUCUCGGUUCUGCGCAUCAUCGCUGGUAUUCAGCAAUGCUUGGUGAGGCUGUGCAAACUUGCGUAUUCGGAAAGCCUCAUAUGAUUUCUUUUCGUCCAUUUGCAGAUGAAAACGAAAGUUGUGGCGAAGCGACCUCUACAUACUUGAUUCGUGCG
rnacentral:lncRNA from 1 species